CCAAUAGCGUAUAUUAAAGUUGUUGCAGUUAAAAAGCUCGUCGUUGAAUUUCGAGACCGGUUUAUUGGUCGUGCUUUUGUACGUACUGGUAUUAUUGGUUUCUCCUUUCUGACGAAUCAUAAUGCCAUUAAUUUGGUGUUUUGGGGAAUCAGGACUGUUACUUUGAAAAAAUUAGAGUGUUUAAAGCAGGCUCACGCUUGAAUACAUUAGCAUGGAAUAACGGAAUAGGACGUUUGAUUCUAUUUUGUUGGUUUCUAGGAUCGACGUAAUGAUUAAUAGGGAUAGUUGGGGGCAUUAGUAUUCAAUUGUCAGAGGUGAAAUUCUUGGAUUUAUUGAAGACUAACUACUGCGAAAGCAUUUGCCAAGGAUGUUUUCAUUAAUCAAGAACGAAAGUUAGGGGAUCGAAGACGAUCAGAUACCGUCGUAGUCUUAACCAUAAACUAUGCCGACUAGGGAUCGGAUGAUGUUAAUUUUUUAAUGACUCAUUCGGCGCCUUACG
rnacentral:rRNA from 1 species